rnacentral:rRNA from 1 species
UACGAAGGGGACUAGCGUUGUUCGGAAUUACUGGGCGUAAAGCGUGCGCAGGCGGCUUUGCAAGACAGAUGUGAAAUCCCCGGGCUUAACCUGGGAACUGCAUUUGUGACUGCAAGGCUGGAGUGCGGCAGAGGGGGAUGGAAUUCCGCGUGUAGCAGUGAAAUGCGUAGAUAUGCGGAGGAACACCGAUGGCGAAGGCAAUCCCCUGGGCCUGCACUGACGCUCAUGCACGAAAGCGUGGGGAGCAAACAGG